CUCCUCUUGAAAUAUAAGAGGUCACGUCUGCUCAAUGCAAUUUGUAAAUAGCCGCAGUAUUCUGACUGUGCUAAGGUAGCAUAAUCAUUAGUCUUUUAAUUGAAGGCUGGUAUGAAUGACGAGACGAGAAAACAACUGUCUCAACUAUGAAUUUUGAAAUUCAUUUCUUAGUGAAAAAGCUAAGAUGUUUUUGAAGGACGAUCAGACCCUAUGGAGCUUUAUUUAUCGAAAGGGUUUGAAUUUGUUUUAUUAAGAUUAAAACUUAGAUGAAUUUUGUUGGGGCGACAAAGAGUUAAAAGCAACGCUCUUUUUAAAAAACAAUUUUAAUUGAAUAAGUCGAUCCUUUUUGGGAGAUUGAAAGACUAAGUUACCCUAGGGAUAACAGCGUAAUCUUUUUGGAGAGUUCUAAUCGAUAAAAAGGUUUGCGACCUCGAUGUUGGAUUAAGAGAUUAACAAGGUGCAGAAGUUUUGUUAGAGAGUCUGUUCGACUCU
rnacentral:rRNA from 1 species